GCCACACUAUCCUCUUUAAAAGGGAAAAAAAUUACAAGAUGAGGAUCCCAUUGCUGUAUGUCCCUAUCUGUCUCAUAGGAACUCUCUUUUGGUACUUUGUGUAUUGCUCUCAGGUGGAUUUUUGAUGAAUCACUUGUUAUUCAUUAUUUUGUGUACAAUCCUUAAAAAAAAGAAG